CAGUAGUCAUAUGCUUGUCUCAAAGACUAAGCCAUGCAUGUCUAAGUUUAAGCGAUUUAAACGGUGAGACUGCGGACGGCUCAUUAUAUCAGUUAUAGUUUAUUUGAUGGUCGAUUACUACAAGGAUAACCGUAGGAAUUCUAGAGCUAAUACUUGCACUUCAAGGUGAUUUAAUCAUCACCUGCACUUAUUAGAUUUACCACCAAUGCUCUUCGGAGCUUCGGUGAUUCAUAGUAAUUUAGCGGAUCGCUACGACUUCGGUCGCGACGCUUCAUUCAAAUUUCUGCCCUAUCAGCUUUCGAUGGUAGUGUAUUGGACUACCAUGGCUUUGACGGGUAACGGAGAAUUAGGGUUCGAUUCCGGAGAGGGAGCCUGAGAAACGGCUACCACAUCUAAGGAAGGCAGCAGGCGCGCAAAUUACCCAAUCCCAACGCGGGGAGGUAGUGACAAGAAAUAACAACAACUAACCUAUUUCAGGUGAGUUGAUUGGAAUGAGUACAAUCUAAACACCUUAACGACUAUCCAUUGGAGGGCAAGCCUGGUGCCAGCAGCCGCGGUAAUUCCAGCUCCAAUAGCGUAUACUAAUGUUGUUGCAGUUAAAAAGCUCGUAGUCGGAUUUCAGUAGGCUCAGUUUAGUCUUCAUUGUAAGAUCUAUAUGGGCCUGCUUCUUUGACAGAAACUUCUAUGUUAUUCAUUUAGCGUGGGCAGCGACUGUCUCUUUUACUUUGAGAAAAUUAGAGUGUUCAAAGCAGGUAUGCGCCUGAAUAUUACUCUUGGAAUAAUGCUAUAAGACUUUGGUUCUAAUGUAUUGGUGAUUGGGACCAGAGUAAUGAU
rnacentral:rRNA from 1 species